GUGGUUGGAUUGUGGCUGCUGCUUUUUCUUUCGAACAACUACGAAAUAUAUCUCAUACUAAUUGGUGGUGCUGGAAAAAAAUCCUAAAAAAAAACCCAAAAAAGAUCACCAUGAGCCAAGAUUAUUCCUCUUACUCCCAACAACAAUGGGCAGGUUAUUCUCAGAGUACGGAUACGAGUCAACAGGCUCCACAGCAAGCUGGCUCCAGCCAAAACCAAAAUUACCAAAACUACAACUACUCUCAACCUUCCCAAGGUGGAUCAACCAGUGGGUAUGAUCAAACCAAAACAGAUGGUCAUAGUCAGGGUCAACAGUAUUCUUAUAACCAGGGUACAGGCCAAU
rnacentral:ribozyme from 1 species